CAGGGUAGGAUCGAACCUCGGAGCGAAGAGAUAAGAGGCAAAAUUCAGAACUACGACCAAUCGGAGCGGUCGAGUCAGUUGGAAAAGCAUGGUUCGACUUACCUUUACAACUUCAAUGGUGAGAUGAACUAAUAGUGAAGCAAAUUUCAUCUCUUCGCUGAAUUUAUUUUGCAAUGGCACACUUCUGAAACCUGACCUCAAACAACGAACCUGAAUAAAAACAACUUCCUUCUUCAAAGUCAAUUGAAGAUAUAAAACAAUUUUGUACCGGGUAGGUAGCCUGGCCGUUGAAAAUACCCUCUCCAAACACACUUUCGUCGUGAACAACGAAUCGCAACAUGGCAAAAUCUGGAUUAGCUAC